rnacentral:rRNA from 1 species
AUUGAACGCUGGCGGCAUGCCUAACACAUGCAAGUCGAACGGAGGUAGGGGCAACUCUACUUCAGUGGCGGACGGGUGAGGAAUGCGUCGGAAUCUACCCUAUGGUGGGGGAUAACACAGGGAAACAUGUGCUAAUACCGCAUAAUGUCGAGAGACCAAAGCAGGGGACCGCAAGGCCUUGCGCGAUAGGAUGAGCCGACGCCCGAUUAGGCUUGUUGGUAGGGUAAUGGCCUACCAAGGCGACGAUCGGUAGCUGGUCUGAGAGGAUGAUCAGCCACACUGGGACUGAGACACGGCCCAGACUCCUACGGGAGGCAGCAGU